rnacentral:tRNA from 2 species
AGCGAGAUAGUGUAAUGGUAGCACAAUAGUCUCAUGAUCUGUUAGUUUGGGUUCAAAUCCUGAUUUCGCUA